rnacentral:rRNA from 1 species
UACGUAGGGGGCAAGCGUUGUCCGGAAUCAUUGGGCGUAAAGAGCGUGUAGGCGGCUCGGUAAGUCCGCUGUGAAAGUCCAGGGCUCAACCCUGGAAUGCCGGUGGAAACUGUCGAGCUAGAGUCCGGAAGAGGCGAGUGGAAUUCCUGGUGUAGCGGUGAAAUGCGCAGAUAUCAGGAAGAACACCAAUGGCGAAAGCAGCUCUCUGGGACGGUACUGACGCUGAGACGCGAAAGCGUGGGGAGCGAACAGG